UGAAACCUGUUUUCAUGCUUUCUUUGGGAAUCCUCUUUUCUCCAUUCUUUGUUUACUUGUUCACAAGUGGUGAUGUUUCUCCGAGUCCGAGUGUAAUUUCUUUGAUUAACAACCAGAUCAAGAAUGAUUUGGCUCUAAAAACAAAUUUGGAUGAGGCUGAGCUUGCAAUUUUCCAUCUAACAUCUUGCCUCAGGAAAUCCAAUGUUGGCUGGAAUAAUUCGUUUGUUUUCUCGGGAUGUAUUCAUAUAACCAACUGUGAACUCAAACAACACACAAUUAAAGGCUCACAUAAAGCUAUACUCCAAUGCCUUCAGCCUAUUUUCAGCAGUUGUAACUUUAGUGUAAUGUAAAAGUAGUUAGU